rnacentral:tRNA from 1 species
GGCUUCGUAGUUCAAUGGAUAGAAUACCUGAAUUCGGAUCAGGUGGUAGGGGUUCGAUUCCCUUCGAAGCUA